GCCGGGGUUGUCGAGAGGCUCGGCCUCGGACUGCAGAUCCGAUUACGAGGGUUCAACUCCCUCCCCCGGCU
rfam:Arc I group archaeon BMIXfssc0709_Meth_Bin006 APG12_contig000044, whole genome shotgun sequence.